AAGUCGUAACAAGGUUUCCGUAGGUGAACCUGCGGAAGGAUCAUUAAUGAAACUUUCAAAGCCGGCUUGUUUAUCUGUGCUGGUGGAGACACAUGUGCACGUUGACAGGUCGCAAAUCCACACACCUGUGCAUCUUAUGACUCUGAGUCGCCGUUUUGUCUGGUUUUCACUGGCCCGGCGACUCGAGUACUUUUACAUACUCUUGAAUUGUAAUGGAAUGUCUAUUGUGCAUAAUGUACAACUAAAACAACUUUCAACAACGGAUCUCUUGGCUCUC
rnacentral:misc_RNA from 1 species